rnacentral:rRNA from 1 species
UAGGGAAUUGUUCGCAAUGGGCGCAAGCCUGACGACGCAACGCCGCGUGGAGGAUGAAGGUCUUCGGAUUGUAAACUCCUGUUGCCCGGGACGAACAGCUUCGACCUAAUACGUCGAAGUCUGACGGUACCGGGUGAGGAAGCCCCGGCUAACUCCGUGCCAGCAGCCGCGGUAAUACGGAGGGAGCUAGCGUUGUUCGGAAUUACUGGGCGUAAAGCGAACGUAGGCGGCUUUGUAAGUUAGAGGUGAAAGCCCGGAGCUCAACUCCGGGAUUGCCUUUAAGACUGCAUCGCUCGAAUCAUGGAGAGGUGAGUGGAAUUCCGAGUGUAGAGGUGAAAUUCGUAGAUAUUCGGAAGAACACCAGUGGCGAAGGCGACUCACUGGACAUGUAUUGACGCUGAGGUGCGAAAGCGUGGGGAGCAAA